CCUCACUCCACGAGGCAUCCAGCGGCUCGUGGGAGCUGGAAGGCGGGGACAGUGCGGCCCUGGCAGCAGGUCAGCACCCAAAUAAAACAGCAGCACAACCCAGCAACCCUAAGAGCGAGAGCAGACAGGAAUCCUCCUGCUGGCACAAGACUACAACCCUCACAGCAGGACAAGGACAGAACCCUCAGAAGACAACAAGACCCACUGCAAAAAGGGUGAGAAUCAGAAGGGAUACUCCCUGAAAAUGCAGAGUUUUAAAACUGCAGUGGAAUACAUUUAAAAAGGGCCUGAGGUCACAGAGUGAAUUGGGAAAAAAAGUGAGGGUCUAAAGACGGUAAGUUCCAGGCCAAAUGGAGUCAUUGUGGCUAGCACCAGAUGUGGACACCUGUGUAGGAGAGGAAUCCUGCACUAUAGAAAUGAACAGCCCAAAAGAACCUACAUACAACCUGACACUAUGAACCUUGCCUGGUGAGUUUUGUUUCUCAGGGAAAAGGCCAUCGUUCAUGUCCACGGCCGGGAGUGCCCGGCUGC